GCUAACUACCAUGCUCCCUCAUGGUUCCCAUAAUUCCCAGCAAUGAGUCUAUGAUGUGUAGAUGCUGGGAAUUAUGGGAAACGCAAGGGAGCAUGGUAGUUAG